rnacentral:misc_RNA from 1 species
UGGCUCUCGCAUCGAUGAAGAACGCAGCGAAAUGCGAUAAGUAAUGUGAAUUGCAGAAUUCAGUGAAUCAUCGAAUCUUUGAACGCACCUUGCGCUCCUUGGUAUUCCGAGGAGCACACCUGUUCGAGUAUCGUGAAAUUCUCAAGCUGGAUGGCUUUAUUGCUGUCUCGGUUUGGUUUUGGGCUCUGCCGUCUCCUCUUCUGGAACGGCUGGCCUUAAAAGUAUUAGCUGACCCUCGUUUGUGGGAUUGGUUCUACUCAGCGUGAUAAUCUUAUGACCGCUGAGGACAUCUUUCGAGAUGGCCAGUGCUACCUUGGAUCGCUUCUAAUCCUGGCGCUCGGAGUUCGUCUCCGAGCCCAUCAUUUUCAACUUUGAUCUCGAAUCAGGUGGGACUACCCGCUGA